rnacentral:lncRNA from 1 species
UUGAAAAAUAAAUUGAACUCUGAUGAAUUAAUUUCGAAAUGUUGUGGUGAAAUAAGCUAUAAAAUUGGAAGCGAUUGGUCUCGAUGGGGAAGGCACCUAGGUUUAGGUGAUGCAGACCUUGACAACAUUAAUUCUGAUCAUACAAAAUGUUUUGAUAAAGCUGAAAAUGUUUUAAAAAAAUGGAAACAAAUAAAUGGAUAUCUUUCAUGGGAUCAGUUAAAAAAAGAGUUAAUAGCUUUUAACCGUAAUGAUAUAAUAGUUGAAAUUGAGGAGAAAUUCAAAGAUCACUUACCUAGUCUAAAUAAAUUAAGGAAGAAGAAGAAGAAGAAGAAAAA